AAAAAAGCAACAGAGGGGUCAGAAUAUUUUUCUAUGAAUGCAAAUUAAAAGGAUCCAAAAAAGAGAAAACAAAAAUUUCCAGUGGGAGUUCACAAGGACAAACAUAUCAAUAUAACGUAGCCAUGAUCUCAUAAAAAAAGUGUCAUUGAAAGGACAACUUGGAGAUAUUCCAACUUUAACAUGAACAUAGGAAUAAUUUAAUGACAACCAAUUUUUUAAUAGUGUUUGGAAAGAAUUUAGAGGCAAGUCAGAGAUUGCACUCAAUACUUUAACUUACGCAACAUCAAGGUUUCAACACCCAGACUUUUAACAUUACACCAAGCAAUAGUCCUAUUAAACAUAACUACACAGUUUUUUUUUUUU
rnacentral:misc_RNA from 1 species